CAGUAGCCGCGGUAAUACGUAGGGUGCGAGCGUUAAUCGGAAUUACUGGGCGUAAAGCGUGCGCAGGCGGUUGUGUAAGACAGGUGUGAAAUCCCCGGGCUUAACCUGGGAACUGCGCUUGUGACUGCACAGCUAGAGUAUGGCAGAGGGGGGUGGAAUUCCACGUGUAGCAGUGAAAUGCGUAGAGAUGUGGAGGAACACCGAUGGCGAAGGCAGCCCCCUGGGCCAAUACUGACGCUCAUGCACGAAAGCGUGGGGAGCAAACAGGAUUAGAGACCCCUGUAGUCCCUGUCUCUUAUAC
rnacentral:rRNA from 1 species